UACAGAGGUCUCAAGCGUUGUUCGGAUUCAUUGGGCGUAAAGGGUGCGUAGGUGGCGCCGUAAGUCGGGUGUGAAAUUUCGGAGCUUAACUCCGAAACUGCAUUCGAUACUGCGGUGCUUGAGGACUGGAGAGGAGACUGGAAUUCAUGGUGUAGCAGUGAAAUGCGUAGAGAUCAUGAGGAAGACCAGUGGCGAAGGCGGGUCUCUGGACAGUGCCUGACACUGAGGCACGAAGGCCAGGGGAGCAAACGGG
rnacentral:rRNA from 1 species